ACAGAGGGUGCAAGCGUUAAUCGGAAUUACUGGGCGUAAAGGGCGCGUAGGUUGCUAUGUAAGUUGGAUGUGAAAUGUUCGGGCUUAACCUGAAACGGCCAUCCAAUACUGCAUAGCUAGAGUACAGUAGAGGGAAGGGGAAUUUCCGGUGUAGCGGUGAAAUGCGUAGAUAUCGGAAGGAACAUCAGUGGCGAAGGCGCCUUCCUGGACUGAUACUGACACUGAGGCGCGACAGCGUGGGGAGCGAACAGGA
rnacentral:rRNA from 1 species